rnacentral:lncRNA from 1 species
AUAAAACUGCUCCGUUGAAGUUGGCCCGGCCCCGGGGCUGCCGUACGCCUGUAACAGGCAAGGGUAGACGGCGAAAAUGGACGCGACGAUGAUGAUGGGCGGGCGAUCGCUGCCAGCGGCCCCGGAGACGGGAGAGAGGGAGCGACGCGUUGUAGCGCCCAGCAGCAGUGUCUGUCCCCUGCCGCCGCCACGCCCUACAC